rnacentral:rRNA from 1 species
GGCGAACGCUGGCGGCGUGCUUAACACAUGCAAGUCGAACGCUGAAGCCUGCAGCUUGCUGUGGGUGGAUGAGUGGCGAACGGGUGAGUAACACGUGAGUAACCUGCCCCUGACUCUGGGAUAAGCCCGGGAAACUGGGUCUAAUACCGGAUAUGACCAUUCUCCGCAUGGAGUGGUGGUGGAAAGUUUUUCGGUUGGGGAUGGGCUCGCGGCCUAUCAGCUUGUUGGUGGGGUGAUGGCCUACCAAGGCGACGACGGGUAGCCGGCCUGAGAGGGCGACCGGCCACACUGGGACUGAGACACGGCCCAG